UACGAAGGGAGCUAGCGUUGUUCGGAAUCACUGGGCGUAAAGCGCACGUAGGCGGAUGUGUCAGUCAGGGGUGAAAUCCCGGAGCUCAACUUCGGAACUGCCUUUGAUACAGCACGUCUUGAAUCCGGGAGAGGGAUGUGGAAUUCCAGGUGUAGCGGUGAAAUGCGUAGAUAUCUGGAGGAACACCGGUGGCGAAGGCGGCAUCCUGGACCGGUAUUGACGCUGAGGCGCGAAAGCUAGGGGAGCAAACGGG
rnacentral:rRNA from 1 species